UUGAAGAGCUAAAUCAAUGGCAGCAACAAAUCAUAAGAUGGCCCUGCUUUUCUUUUUCUUCUUUAUCUUACAGGUUUGAGGGACCUCUUCCUUUUGAACUUGAAACUGGGUAUGUUGGUGUGGGUGACUCUGAAGAUGAUCAACUCUUUUACUACUUUAUAAAGUCGGAGAGGAAACCUGAGGACGACCCUCUUCUGCUAUGGUUAUCUGGUGGCCCUGGCUGCACCUCCUUCACUGGUCUUGUUUUCAGAAUCGGUCCUUUGAAAUUUGAGGUUGUGGAGUACAAUGGAAGCUUGCCUACUUUGGUUUUAAACCCGUACAAAACUAUAAAAACUGACAACUGAAUAAAAAGCCUCUUUUCUGUUGUGUUCUUUUGGACAAUAAAGAUUUGUUUUCAGAUGUCAAACUUCCUAUUUGUCGAUUCACCAGUCGGAGUCGGCUUCUCCUAUGCAAGAAACGAACUUGAUGUGAAAACAAGUGACUCCAAACAAGUUCGCUAUCUCCACCAAUUUCUUCUAAAGGUCAUCCUAAAAUAGCUGUCUUCAGUUAUCACCGUUGUGUAUACAUAAAUGAAUCACCGUUGGCGGGGAUUCGUAUUCUGGGAUUACAGUCCCAGUCCUUGCUCAAGAGAUAUUAAACGGUAAAGUACUAAAACCCUGAACUGA